AACGUACGCUGGCGGCAGGCUUAACACAUGCAAGUCGAACGCAUCCUUCGGGGUGAGUGGCAGACGGGUGAGUAACGCGUGGGAACGUGCCCUUCAGUUCGGGAUAACCCAGGGAAACUUGGGCUAAUACCGGAUACGUGCGAGAGCAGAAAGAUUUAUCGCUGAAGGAUCGGCCCGCGUCUGAUUAGCUAGUUGGCGGGGUAAUGGCCCACCAAGGCGACGAUCAGUAGCUGGUCUGAGAGGAUGAUCAGCCACAUUGGGACUGAGACACGGCCCAAACUCCUACGGGAGGCAGCAGUGGGGAAUAUUGGACAAUGGGCGCAAGCCUGAUCCAGCCAUGCCGCGUGAGUGAUGAAGGCCUUAGGGUUGUAAAGCUCUUUCGUCCGGGACGAUAAUGACGGUACCGGAAGAAGAAGCCCCGGCUAACUUCGUGCCAGCAGCCGCCGUAA
rnacentral:rRNA from 1 species